rnacentral:rRNA from 1 species
AGUGAACGCUGGCGGCAUGCCUAACACAUGCAAGUCGAACGGCAGCACAGCAGUAGCAAUACUGUGGGUGGCGAGUGGCGGACGGGUGAGGAACACAUCGGAAUUUGCCCAGUCGUGGGGGAUAACGUAGGGAAACUUACGCUAAUACCGCAUACGACCUUACGGUGAAAGCGGGGGAUCGCAAGACCUCGCGCGGAUGGAUGAGCCGAUGUCGGAUUAGCUAGUUGGUGGGGUAAAGGCCUACCAAGGCGACGAUCCGUAGCUGGUCUGAGAGGAUGAUCAGCCACACUGGGACUGAGACACGGCCCAGACUCCUACGGGAGGCAGCAGUGGGGAAUAUUGGACAAUGGGGGCAACCCUGAUCCAGCAAUGCCGCGUGUGUGAAGAAGGCCUUCGGGUUGUAAAGCACUUUAUCCGGAACGAACGUGCGGGGUGAAUAGCCUCGUAAACUGACGGUACCGGAGGAAUAAGCACCGGCUAACUUCGUGCCAGCAGCC